UUAAAACCGUUUUUAAAUACAAAGUGAUCCACAAAAAGAGACCUACAAAGGUUAUGACUCGAUGAUACGGUAGGUUAGUAGGCCAGAGUUACCCAUUACCACAAAAUUGCUUGUAAACGCAUAGGAUAAGAAAUAACACCUAAUUAAAAGUAACCCCAGUCCCUUUCCUGCCAAGAUGCUCUUAAGUGUGUUGUUUUGUCAGAGUGUGCUUAAUCAUCCUGUCGGAUGACGAAAGAAAUGUUCAGCGCAGCCAGUAAGAUGAUGAUCUAUUCAUGAGUAAUGGAAUUGAACUGGCUGGGGGCCCGUUAAUUUUCUUUUGAGAUCUUUUUUGUGUCUGGAGAGUAAAUUGAAAAUUAAUGGGAGGUACUUAAUGCUCUAGUCUUUUAUCAACAAAGGAUAACUGUUGGAAAUAAAUAAUCUUUUUGAAAUAUAUAAGUAAAGAAUAUUAGCA
rnacentral:misc_RNA from 1 species